CCCCCCCCCCCCCCCCCCCCCCCCCCCCCCCCCCCCCCCCCCCCCCCCCCCCCCCCCCCCCCCCCCCCCCCCCCCCCCCCCCCCCCCCCCCCGGGAAUGUGGGACAAGGAAAGCCCCUGCCGGGGGUGGGGGGUGGGUGCAUGGAGAAGGGGACGCAGCCCCUUGCGCACGGGUACAGCCGGGAGAGGAGCGAGGGCAGGGCUGACAGCACUGCACGGUGCGUGGCUGCUCUCCCCGCUGCCGCGGGAGGAUGAGGCCGUGCUUUUGCAGGGAGCUUGGGCUAUUGCGAAGCUUUGCCGUGUGUUGUAUUCCCUGUCCGGCUUCCUGAGCUCCAGCUCCAUCUCGCACCACUGCCAUGAGUUUUACCUCUUGUCUCUUCACCUUGGGCUCCCGGCCCGGCUUAUCACUGGAGAAAUCCCACCCGCUCUUUUUACUGCCACAGGGCUACAGAGGCAGCGAGGGUUGGAGCCAGAGCCCUGGUGCAGGAUGCUCUGUUUGCCAGAGCUGUGGCUAGUUUUGCCCCAGAUUUAAAGCUCCACUGGCUUUCAGGGAAAGGCGGCGUGAGCCAGCCGCGGGCAGGGCAGUGCCGCCGCCCCGCUCCGGUGCACCGGCGUGAGCAGAAUCAGCCUCAUCUCAGAGUGGGGUCUGCGACCUCCCUACUUGUCUGCGGGGGUCUCUGCACACAGGAGACCCCUUUCCUCCUCAUGCCCGACCCUGGCAAAGUUUGGAGCAGGUAUGGCCACCCUGGGCACUCGAAUGGGUGCAAAGCCACAAGCCCAAGCCUGCUGCAGGAGCAGUGGCGUUGCCUCUCCCUGCUGCUCGCCCUUGGAACGGUCCUGCUGAGCCCUUGGUGUUCCUUAAGUGCUUUAUUCCUUCCCACAGAGGACGAACACCUCAUCACUCCCAACUCUGUGAGCCAGCAGCCAUGUGCUCCUCACAGCUGGAUCUUCUCGCCAGCAUGCCCGGAGCCUUCCCGCCCGGGCAAAGGGACAGCGCAGCCCCCGGAGGCUGUGGAGCUCUCCCCAUCUCCUGCACGGCAGGAGGAGGGCCUGGGGCAUUGGCUGCUGGGGAGCCCAGAGGAAGCCGCCUUUCCCUGGGGAUCCUGGCAGGGGUUCCAGAACCGCUCCCAGGGCUGGUCGGGGAGCCCAACAUCCAUCUCAAAGGGGAACAAGGCUGGAGAUGAGUGGUCUGAACCUGCAUGA
rnacentral:lncRNA from 1 species